UACGUAGGGGGCUAGCGUUGUCCGGAAUCAUUGGGCGUAAAGCGCGCGUAGGCGGCCCGGUAAGUCCGUUGUGAAAGUCAAAGGCUCAACCUUUGAAAGCCGAUGGAUACUGCCGGGCUAGAGUCCGGAAGAGGCGAGUGGAAUUCCUGGUGUAGCGGUGGAAUGCGCAGAUAUCAGGAAGAACACCAAUGGCGAAGGCAGCUCUCUGGGACGGUACUGACGCUGAGACGCGAAAGCGUGGGGAGCGAACAGG
rnacentral:rRNA from 1 species